AGGCAGCAGUAGGGAAUAUUGGACAAUGGACGCAAGUCUGAUCCAGCCAUGCCGCGUGCAGGAAGACGGCCCUCUGGGUUGUAAACUGCUUUUAUAUGAGAAGAAACCCUCAGAUGCGUUUGAGGCUGACGGUAUCAUAUGAAUAAGGAUCGGCUAACUCCGUGCCAGCAGCCGCGGUAAUACGGAGGAUCCAAGCGUUAUCCGGAUUCAUUGGGUUUAAAGGGUCCGUAGGCGGGUCUUUAAGUCAGUGGUGAAAGCCGACAGCUCAACUGUCGAACUGCCAUUGAUACUGGAGACCUUGAGUACAAAUGAAGUAGGCGGAAUGAGUCAUGUAGCGGUGAAAUGCAUAGAUAUGACUCAGAACACCGAUUGCGAAGGCAGCUUACUAACAUGUAACUGACGCUGAGGGACGAAAGCGUGGGGAGCGAACAGGAUUAGAUACCCUGGUAGUCCACGCCGUAAACGAUCAUCACUCGCUGUUGGCGAUAUACUGUCAGCGGCCAAGCGAAAGUAUUAAGUGAUGCACCUGGGGAGUACGCCGGCAACGGUGAAACUCAAAGGAAUUGACGGA
rnacentral:rRNA from 1 species